rnacentral:rRNA from 1 species
CAGUAGCCGCGGUAAAACGGAGGGGGCUAGCGUUGUUCGGAAUUACUGGGCGUAAAGCGCACGUAGGCGGCUUUGUAAGUCAGAGGUGAAAGCCUGGAGCUCAACUCCAGAACUGCCUUUGAGACUGCAUCGCUUGAAUCCAGGAGAGGUUAGUGGAAUUCCGAGUGUAGAGGUGAAAUUCGUAGAUAUUCGGAAGAGCACCAGUGGCGAAGGCGGCUGACUGAACUGGUAUUGACGCUGAGGUGUGAAAGCGUGGGGAGCAAACAGGAUUAGAUACCCCCGUAGUCCCUGUCUCUUAUAC